ensembl:miRNA
GGCUCCGCAGGGCCCUGGCGCAGGCAUCGAGACAGCGGGCGAAUGCCUCCCCCGGCCCCGCAG